GUCCCUACGGGAGGCAGCAGUGAGGAAUAUUGGUCAAUGGGCGGGAGCCUGAACCAGCCAAGCCGCGUGAAGGAAGAAGGCGCCAAGCGUCGUAAACUUCUGUCGCGAGGGACGAAGAAUGACGGUACCUCGUAAGAAAGCCCCGGCUAACUACGUGCCAGCAGCCGCGGUAAUACGUAGGGGGCGAGCGUUGUCCGGAAUGACUGGGCGUAAAGGGAGUGUAGGCGGCAAUAUAAGUUAGAUGUGAAAUCCCGCGGCUCAACCGCGGAACUGCAUCUAAAACUAUAUAGCUGGAGUGCAGGAGG
rnacentral:rRNA from 1 species